CACCUAUUUCAGGCUCGGCUACGGUUUCUCCCGCUCACGCAACGGCGCGCCGAACAUGCAUGCCGCAAGCUGUAUCGCAGCCGUGACCGGGGCGUGGCGUCAUGAGGGUGGCGGCGCAUUCCACAACAACGGCGCGAUCUAUCACUGGGACCGUUCGCUGAUCGAGGGACUCGAUGUGGUCGAUCCGUCGAUCCGCAUGCUCGACCAGUCGCGCAUCGGCGCGAUCCUGUGCGGCGACGCCGACGCGCUGUUCAGUGGGCCGCCGGUGACGGCGAUGCUGAUC
rnacentral:misc_RNA from 1 species